CUCCUGAAGAGCCUGUAACAAUCCAACAGGCCUCUCCAGUCGCAGGACUCGUCCCACCAUGUUUCACUUAUGGCAAAGGAAAAGAGAGUAGAGAGGGGCAGGAAAGGAGUGUGUACUAGGCAGCUGAAUCAAAAGCUCAGACCUUUUUUCUGGAGCAGCUGAAAACACGGAUUCCAGAAGGGACAGUUUGAACCAUGCCAUGCUCACCAAAAUUAAUAUAUACCUACCAAAAGAGGAAUAUGAUAUCUGUUCACCUUGUGUUUGCGUGGAACUUCCCUGUUGAUGGAGAUUCUACCCGUCUAUGUAUCUACAAAACAGGAUCACAGUGAUCUGUUCUUACCUGAUCUGUUCCUCAGGUGAAAUGGAAGCACACUUGCUUAAAUAUCAGAAAUACAUGAUAGGAAGAUCA